GAUGAAGAACGCAGCGAAAUGCGAUAAGUAAUGUGAAUUGCAGAAUUCAGUGAAUCAUCGAAUCUUUGAACGCACAUUGCGCCCGCCAGUAUUCUGGCGGGCAUGCCUGUCCGAGCGUCAUUUCAACCCUCGCGCCCAUCUGGGCUGCGGUGUUGGGGACCGGCCUGCCCCCCCGGGGCGCGCCGCCCCCCAAAUUCAGUGGCUGUCUCGCUGCAGCCUCCCUUGCGUAGUAGCACACCUCGCACCGGAGCGCAGCGCGGCCACGCCGUAAAACCCCCGACCCCCAUGAGUUUGACCUCGGAUCAGGUAGGAAUACCCGCUGAACUUAAGCAUAUCAAUAAGCGGAGGA
rnacentral:misc_RNA from 1 species